rnacentral:rRNA from 1 species
CCUACGGGAGGCAGCAGUGGGGAAUAUUGGACAAUGGGGGGAACCCUGAUCCAGCGACGCCGCGUGAGUGAAGAAGUAUUUCGGUAUGUAAAGCUCUAUCAGCAGGGAAGAAAGAAAUGACGGUACCUGACUAAGAAGCCCCGGCUAACUACGUGCAAGCAGCCGCGGUAAUACGUAGGGGGCAAGCGUUAUCCGGAUUUACUGGGUGUAAAGGGAGCGUAGCCGGUUACGCAAGUCUGGAGUGAAAGUCGGGGGCUCAACCCCAGGACUGCAUUGGAAACUGUAUAACUGGAGUGCAGGAGAGGUAAGUGGAAUUCCUAGUGUAGCGGUGAAAUGCGUAGAUAUUAGGAGGAACACCAGUGGCGAAGGCGGCUUACUGGACUGUAACUGACGUUGAGGCUCGAAAGCGUGGGGAGCAAACAGGAUUAGAUACCCGAGUAGUC